UCCGUAGGUGAACCUGCGGAAGGAUCAUUACCUAGAGUUUGUAGACUUCGGUCUGCUACCUCUUACCCAUGUCUUUUGAGUACCUUCGUUUCCUCGGCGGGUCCGCCCGCCGAUUGGACAACAUUCAAACCCUUUGCAGUUGCAAUCAGCGUCUGAAAAAACAUAAUAGUUACAACUUUCAACAACGGAUCUCUUGGUUCUGGCAUCGAUGAAGAACGCAGCGAAAUGCGAUAAGUAGUGUGAAUUGCAGAAUUCAGUGAAUCAUCGAAUCUUUGAACGCACAUUGCGCCCCUUGGUAUUCCAUGGGGCAUGCCUGUUCGAGCGUCAUUUGUACCUUCAAGCUCUGCUUGGUGUUGGGUGUUUGUCUCGCCUCUGCGUGUAGACUCGCCUUAAAACAAUUGGCAGCCGGCGUAUUGAUUUCGGAGCGCAGUACAUCUCGCGCUUUGCACUCAUAACGACGACGUCCAAAAGUACAUUUUUACACUCUUGACCUCGGAUCAGGUAGGGAUACCCGCUGAACUUAAGCAUAUCAAUAAGCGGAG
rnacentral:rRNA from 1 species